rnacentral:rRNA from 1 species
CUGCAGCCCGAGUGGUGAUCGAUUUUAUUGAGCCUAAAGCGUCCGUAGCCGGACUAGUAAACUCUUGGGUAAAUUGGGCAGCUUAACUGUCCAACUUCCGAGAGGACUGCUAGUCUUGGGACCGGGAGAGGUCAGAGGUACUCCAGGGGUAGGGGCUAAAUCCUGUAAUCCUUUGGGGACCACCAGUGGCGAAGGCGUCUGACUAGAACGGAUCCGACGGUAAGGGACGAAACCCUGGGGCGCGAACCGGAUUAGAUACCCGAGUAGUCC